ACGGAUCCCGUAGCUUAGUGGUUAGAGCGUCUGACUCUGAUGCAGGUGGUCGUUGGUUCGAUUCCUGGUCGGUCAUA